UUUAAGUGCAACCAUAAGUUUUCGUGCCUAAUUUUAAUAGUCCGUCUUAUUUGAAUUUUUUUUAUAAUUAGUAUUUUUGUUGUUAUGAGAUGAUAAAACAUGAAUAGUACUUUAUGUGUGACUUAUGUUUUUAUUUUUUGAAAAAAAAUUAAAUAAGACGGACGAUCAAAGUUUAGCACGGAAAAACAUGGCUGCACUUAAA
rnacentral:pre_miRNA from 1 species